GGCGACCUCAUUUAUUGUUCGUUUUGGAUCUUUUCUUGCUUGUUGACCUUAUUAUGUCUUCGCCGUACAUAUCCCUCUUGUCUGCAUGUGUUACGUCUCUCCGGACUUCGCUUCAGUGCUCUUGUACUAAGAGACGAAACACAUGCGGACAAUAGGUAUACAUACGGAGAACACAUGAUCAGGUGAACAAGCAACCAGAUAUGCGGUUGACC